GACGAACGCUGGCGGCGUGCCUAAUACAUGCAAGUCGAACGGACAGGCCCUGCUUUUGUGGGUUGCUCGAGUGGCGAACGGGUGAGUAACACGCGUGUAACCUGUCCCUGUCAUUGUGGUAUAAUUUGGGAAAACGGGAUCUUAUAGGAUAGAAGCUCCUGCUGCAUGGUGGGGGAUGGAAAGUUUCGGCGGUUGGGGAUGGAAUCGCGGCUUCUCCGCUUGUUUGUGGGGUAGUGGCUUACCAAGGCUUUGAAGGGUAGCCGGCCUGGGAGGUUGACCGGCCACAUGGGGACUGAGAUACGGCCCAGUCUCCUACGGGAGGCAACAGUGGAGAAUAUUGCACAAUGGGCGGAAGCCUGAUGCAGCAACGCCGCGUGCGUGAUGACCGCCUUCGGGUUAUAAACCGCUUUCGCCUGUGACGAGGCGUGAGUGACGGUAAUGGGUAAAGAAGCACCGGCUAACUACGUG
rnacentral:rRNA from 1 species